rnacentral:rRNA from 1 species
UACAGAGGGUGCGAGCGUUAAUCGGAAUUACUGGGCGUAAAGCGCGCGCAGGCGGUUCUUUAAGUCAGGGGUGAAAGCCCAGAGCUCAACUCUGGAAUUGCCUUUGAAACUAGAGAACUUGGGUACGGGGGAGGUGAGUGGAAUUCCGAGUGUAGAGGUGAAAUUCGUAGAUAUUCGGAAGAACACCAGUGGCGAAGGCGGCUCACUGGCCCGUUACCGACGCUCAGGCGCGACAGCGUGGGGAGCAAACAGG